UGAGGAAUAUUGGUCAAUGGGCGCAAGCCUGAACCAGCCACGUCGCGUGAAGGAAGACGGCCCUACGGGUUGUAAACUUCUUUUGCAAGGGAAUAAAGUGGGCCACGUGUGGCCUUUUGCAAGUACCUUGCGAAUAAGGAUCGGCUAACUCCGUGCCAGCAGCCGCGGUAAUACGGAGGAUCCGAGCGUUAUCCGGAUUUAUUGGGUUUAAAGGGUGCUCAGGCGGGACAUUAAGUCGGCGGUGAAAUUUUGCGGCUCAACCGUAAAAGGGCCUUCGAAACUGGUAUCCUUGAGUGUGGAUGAGGUAGGCGGAAUUUGUGGUGUAGCGGUGAAAUGCAUAGAUAUCACGAGGAACUCCGAUUGCGCAGGCAGCUUACUAAGCCAUAACUGACGCUCAAGCACGAAGGCGUGGGGAUCAAACA
rnacentral:rRNA from 1 species